rnacentral:rRNA from 1 species
GAUGAACGCUGGCGGUAUGCUUAACACAUGCAAGUCGAACGGACUCUUCGGAGUUAGUGGCGGACGGGUGAGUAACGCGUGAGAAUCUGGCUUUGGGUUCGGGACAACCACUGGAAACGGUGGCUAAUACCGGAUGUGCCGAGAGGUAAAAGAGAAAUUGCCUGAAGAUGAGCUCGCGUCUGAUUAGCUAGUUGGUGAGGUAAAGGCUCACCAAGGCAGCGAUCAGUAGCUGGUCUGAGAGGAUGACCAGCCACACUGGGACUGAGACACGGCCCAGACUCAAAGGGGGGGAAGAGGGGGGGAAUUUGCAGCAAGGGGAGAAAGCUUGACGGAGAAAUACGGGGGGAGGAAAAAAGGCUCUGGGGUUGAAAACCUUUUUUCUUAGGAAAGAAAAAAAGGAGGGAACAUAAGAAACGAGAAACGGCAAACUCCGUG